AAAGAAAGAACUAAGAAGAACAUGGCAAAAAGACAAACAAACCUGCAAUUAUAUCUGCCCCACCACUGAUGUACUUGGAGAUACUAUGAACAACAACAUCAGCACCAAGCUUCACCGGCGAAAUCACCAUCGGAGUAAAAGUAUUAUCCACCACCACCGUCACACCUUUCCGAUGCGCCACCCUACACAACUCCGGUAUAUUUGCCACCGAGAGAGUAGGGUUUGAGACUGAUUCAAAAUACAAAACCUUAGUCUUUCCUUCGAUGAUAGCUUCAUCAACCAUUUCAAUAUCGGAAAUCUCAACGAACGUGGUUGUUAUGUUGCAUGUACGUGGAAGAAAAUGAGUUAACAGCGCGUGUGUUCCACCGUAGAGUGUUCUUGAAGCGACCACGUGUUCUCCGGUGGAGGUGAGUUGGAGGAUUGCAGCGGAAAUGGCGGACAUGCCGCUGGAUGUACAGUAAGCGGCUUCUGUACCUUCGAGAGCGGCCAUUAGACGGGAGAGGUUAAGGACGGUAGGGUUGAAGUGACGGCUGUAGACGAAGAAGUCGCGGUCUGGACCUAACUCUCCGGCGAACAUGCGUCGGAGAGUUUCUGGUUCCAUGACUGUGAAUGUUACCGAGGCUUCUAUUGACAUGUUUACGCCGCCGUGUUCGCCGAAUUCGUGUCGUGCGUUGGCGAGUGAGGUGGCUGGGUUGAAGACGGUGCCGUUUUGUGUAGCGGUUGCUAGUUUCUUUUUUGUUUCGGUUUCGUCGUCCACACGGUUACGCUUGGCGGGGGCGGCGGCGGUGGUGGUGGUCAUGAGGAAAGUGUCAGCCAUGGGUUUAGUGUGUAGGAGAAGGGAGUUAAGUGGUGAUUAGUAUUACAAAAUGGAAAGUUGUACUAUGAUGUUGAAAAUGAAGUUAAACAAAUAAGUAUGUACUAUGUAUCUAGCAAGAAGGCUUAGUUGUUUUGAAUUGAUUUGGUGUCGUAAUACCUUCUAUAUAUAAUAGUGUAGUCGUGUUAGUGUAUGGG
rnacentral:lncRNA from 1 species